CUACUCUCCCUCUUCUUUUUUAGCUCACUCAUUCUUUUCAUCAAAUAAAAAAAAUUUCUUCUAUGACGCAAGAGGAAAAUCAUCAAGGCAACGAUUCCUUCAGGAGAGAUGCGUUUUAGGAGGUGUGAGGAAGAUGCCACGGGGAAGGUAAACAACUGAGAUCAGUGAUCCUGGCCAGAAAAUAAUUGAGGGUCUGUACAUCUUGAUCUGAAAAGAAUGAAGAUUGGAAAGAAUCUUUACCAUCAGCUGUGUACCUCCUCCGCGGCCUCUUCCUUACACCUCCUUAUAACGCAUUUCACCUGAGGGAAUCGUCGUCUAUCAAAGACAAUUCAAUAAGUAUGUGGUUAUCUUUCAAACCAUCUAAAUUCAAGUGACACUUUGAAUCAACUCUUUGUGAAUAUACGACAGCUGAGGCGAUAUGCAUUUAUUUAUUAGGUUAACCACAUUGUACUCUUUAAUGCCACCUAUCAAUGGGGUAGACUUGUGUAACUUCGAGAUCUUGUUGAUAAGUGCAUCUAUAACAGGCUCAGCUAAUUUCAUUUUUUGAGCCGAAGGUUUAUCCGAAAUAGUUUCUCUACCUCCUAGUGUAUCUAUAACAUGUUUGAGUUCUUAAAGUCUUGCAGCUUGGGAUAUUCACACUAUGUUUUUAGUUCAGGAAUUCGCAAUGAAUUUGAGGAUCGAAGCACUGUUUCAGGAUUUCUUGAGUAAACAGUUAGUAAUGAAGAAGAAUAAGAAGAGAGGGAGAAAUCUGUAUAUUCAAUAUGAUGAAUGUAACUGAUGAUUACAAUUUCUAUUUAUAAAGACUUGACUGACUUAUUCCAUAAAACAAAUUCAGUGACAACUAAUAUCAAACUAACUAUCACUACACUGAUUAUUGUAGCUUAACAAUGUUUAUCGAACUUUGUCAACUAACUUUUGAGUUUCCAAAUUACUGUAACAAU